rnacentral:tRNA from 1 species
GGCUGGGUGGCUCAGUGGUUAGAGCCUAGGGCUCGUAACCGAAAGGUUCCUAGUUCAAACCUCGCAAGAGACA